GCCUGGGAUAGCUCCCUCGGUAGAGCAUGAGACUCUUAAUCUCAGAGUCGUGGGUUUGAGCCCCACAUUGGGCA